rnacentral:rRNA from 1 species
UGGGGAAUAUUGCACAAUGGGCGCAAGCCUGAUGCAGCCAUGCCGCGUGUGUGAAGAAGGCCUUCGGGUUGUAAAGUACUUUCAGCGGGGAGGAAGGGAGUAAAGUUAAUACCUUUACUCAUUGACGUUACCCGCAGAAGAAGCACCGGCUAACUCCGUGCCAGCAGCUGCGGUAAUACGGAGGGUGCAAGCAUUAAUCGGAAUUACUGGGCGUAAAGCGCACGCAGGCGGUUUGUUAAGUCAGAUGUGAAAUCCCCGGGCUCAACCUGGGAACUGCAUCUGAUACUGGCAAGCUUGAGUCUCGUAGAGGGGGGUAGAAUUCCAGGUGUAGCGGUGAAAUGCGUAGAGAUCUGGAGGAAUACCGGUGGCGAAGGCGGCCCCCUGGACGAAGACUGACGCUCAGGUGCGAAAGCGUGGGGAGCAAACAGG